rnacentral:rRNA from 1 species
UACAGAGGGUGCAAGCGUUAAUCGGAAUUACUGGGCGUAAAGCGUGCGUAGUCGGUUAUUUAAGUCGGGUGUGAAAGCCCCGGGCUCAACCUGGGAAUUGCAUUCGAUACUGGAUAGCUAGAAUUCGGCAGAGGGAAGCGGAAUUUCCGGUGUAGCGGUGAAAUGCGUAGAUAUCGGAAGGAACAUCAGUGGCGAAAGCGGCUUCCUGGACCAGAACUGACGAUCAGGCACGAAAGCGUGGGGAGCAAACAGG